rnacentral:tRNA from 1 species
CAAAAAGGUAAUUUAAUUUAAAAAUGUUAGGCUUCAAACUUGACAAUAGGUGUAACGCUUUCUUUUUGU